AGGCCCCACACUGAGCACCUUCUCUCUCUCCACCUGCUCCUCUGACCUACUCCACUCUCAACCCACCAGAACCAUGGGCUGCUGUGGCUGUUCCGGAGGCUGCGGCUCCAGCUGUGGGGGCUGCAGCUCCAGCUGUGGAGGCUGCGGCUCCAGCUGUGGGGGCUGUGGCUCCAGCUGUGGGGGCUGUGGCUCCAGCUGUGGGGGCUGUGGCUCCAGCUGCUGUGUGCCCAUCUGCUGCUGCAAGCCCUGUGUGCUGCUGUGUGCCAGUCUGCUCCUGCUCCAGCUGUGGCAAAGGGGGCUGUGGCUCCAGCUGUGGGGGCUCCAAGGGGGGCUGUGGGUCCUGUGGGGGGUCUAAGGGGGGCUGUGGCUCCUGUGGGGGCUCCAAGGGGGGCUGUGGCUCCUGUGGCUGCUCCCAGUCCAGCUGCUGCAUCCCUGUUUGCUGCUCCCAGUCCAGCUGCUGCAAACCCUGCUGCUCCCAGUCCAGCUGCUGCAUCCCUGUUUGCUGCUCCCAGUCCAACUGCUGCAAACCCUGCUGCUCCCAGUCCAGCUGCUGUGUCCCCGUUUGCUGCCAGUGCAAGAUCUGAGGCUCUGACUGAAGACUUCAGGUGGCUCCUAAGGGUGUGGGCUUCCCAUCGAGUGCCUGUAGACAUGUCCUGGACCAUCCCCAAGCAGUUCCUAUCCAGGUGAUGGACAGCUAGAGUCUCCUGGCUCCAGACUCCUCCCCAGCACCUGAGGGAAAGGCAUGAAGUUCGCCCACACACAUUCCCUGAGAGGGGGUCCCGUGCCCCAGACACUUUUGCGCCUUCUACCCACACACCCUAAUGCCUGAGCCAGACUCGCCCUGAAAAUGGUUCACAGGUCAGGGAGGUGGCCGAAAUUUCCAUUUCUAAUUAUUCCAUGCAAGGCACCAAAGCUUUGUCUUUCUCUGUUUGCCAGGAGCUUUAUCAUUCCCAUAAGUGUGUCUCCAAUAACCCACCUGAUUAAAACAAGUGCAUUAAGACCCACAAUGGGUCUGGGUGCACCAAUAAAUAAAUCCUCCACCCACAGAGCUUGGUCUCACUGUGGUUUUCCUUCCAGCCUGUCUUGGCAGUGACAUCGAUCGUGUUUCCCGCUCCUGCUGCCUAAUCGAUCACGGCUCCCCGGGCCCUUCACUGCUGUCACCGCAGGGCCGGGCUCAGCAGUCAUUCCACAGACAUUAGGUAAAUUAACGAGUGGAGGGACCACUGAGUGCGUGUGUGAGUGAGCGAAGAGUUGAUGGAGAGCGAAUGGAAGACUCUUCUUAGCAGAGGCAGGGUACCCGCUGAGUGAAUGGGAUUCAGGAUUCAGGUUGUCCUUGCUGGCAUCAGGGGUGCAGCUCCUUCCCCAGAGAGGAUGUGCUUGGAGGAGGAGGAGACAUUUGCCCUCAAUGUCCAGAAAAAGGUCUAUUGGGUGGGCUGCGCGCCACCCAGGCCUCAGAGCAGGGGUCAAGCCUGGAGAGAAAGAGGUGACGAAAACGAGCUGAGCUCCUGAGAAGCUGCAAAGAUAUAGCCUGUCCUGUUUCAGAGACCAGUGUCGGCCUGGCUCAGCAUGCAGCAAGGAGCUCUCUCCCCACCGCCGGGCUCAGAGUCAGCGAGAACCAGCCACUCUUGGAUCUCAACAGGGGUGGGGCUGGAGGAGGAACGGAAGGGGACCCGAUGAAGGUCACCUGCCGAAAACCCCCAGCUGACAUCACACCAUGCUGUGGGAGCUCGGACACCUUCCGGAAGAUCAGGAGCAAGCAAAGGGCAUCCCCGCGCCCCAUGUCUGCUCAGCAUCACUCUGACGUCCUAGCCAGGGAGACACGGGUUCGAUCCCUGGUCUGGGAAGACCCCACGUGCCUCGGAGCAACCGAGCCCGUGCACCACGACUACAGAAGCCCAAGCACCCAAGAGCCUGUGCUCCGCAACGAGAGGCCACUGCGAUGAGAAGCCCACGCACUGCAACCCGAGAGAGCCCACCCGCAGCAGAAGGCCCGACACUGCCAAAAAAAAAUAAACAAUAAAAUUUUAAGAAUAAAUAACGAAAGAAAUUACAGUCAUCCACGCUGGGAAGGAAAAGGCGAAACAGCCUCUAUUCAUAGAAGACAAUACCUUGUGUAUGGAGAAGCCUAAGGACUACACACACACACACGAUUAUUAGAGCUAAGAAAUGAAUUCAGCAGGCCACAGGAGACAACAUCAAGCACACAGAAAUCAACUAUAUUUCUGUAUACCAGCAAUGAGCCAUCAGAAUUUAAAUUAAGAAGACAAUAUCAUGGAAAAUAACAAAAUAACUUAAUAAACUUAACAAUUGAAGUGCAAAACUGCAAAACACCAUUGAAAGAAGUUAAAGAAGGCCAAAAUAAAUGGAAAGCUAUCCAGCGGUCCUGUAUCAGGAGACGUAAUAUUGUUAGAAUGACAGUAUUCCAAAACUCUGCAGAUUUAACAUAAUCCCUUUCAAAAUCCCACAUUGCUUUUUGCAGAAAGUGACAAGCUGACCCUAAAGUGCAUAUGGAAAUUCAAGGAUGUGCAGAUAGUCAAAGCAAUCUUGAAAAAGAAAAUCUAACUUGGAGGACUCACGUUUCCCAAUUUCCAAUGUAUUACAGGGUUGCAGUAGGACUUCUCUGGUGGUACGGUGGAUAGGAACCCACCUGCCAGUGCAGGAAACCCGGCUCUGAUCCCUGGUGCUGGAAGAGCCCACGUGCCUCGGGGCAACUCAGCCCGUGCACCACAGGUGCUGAGCCCGCCUGUGGCAACUACGAAGCCCACGCGCCUAGAGUCUGUGCUGCAAAGAGAGGCCCGAGCACCGCAAGGAGCUGCUGCGACUAGAGAGACCAAGUGCCGACCAAAGACGCAGCCCAGAGAAAAAUAAUAAAAUAAAUAGAUUAUGCAUCACAAGCUACAGUAAUAAAGCUGUGUGAAGCUGCAUAAGGGUAGACACAGAUCAGUGGAACAGAACUGAGUCUAGAGACAAAUCCUCCAAAUUACGGGCAACUGAUUUUCAACAACGGCGCACAAUCAUUCAGCGCAAAGUCUUUUCAGUGAACACGGCUGAGACAAGUAGUGACCACACGCAAAAGAAUACAGUUGAACCUUUAUCUCAAAUCACAUGUACAAAAAAAAACCAGCCUUGAAAUGGAUCCAUGAGCUAAUCAUAAAAGCCAAAACUAGAAACUAUAAAACUCUUAGAAGAGAAGAUAGAGUAAGUCUUUGUGAUCGUAUAUUAGACAAUGAAUAUUAGAUAUGACAGCAAAGUGAAAGUGAAAGUCGCUCAGUCAUGCCCGACUCUUUGCGACUCCAUGGACUGCAUAGUCCAUGGAAUUCUCCAGGCCACAAUACUGGAGUGGGCAGCCUUUCCCUUCUCCAGGGGAGCUUCCCAACCCAGGGAUGGAACCCAGGUCUCCUGUAUUGCAGGUGGAUUCUCUACCAGCUGAGUCACAAGGGAAGCCCAAGAAUACUGGAGUGGGUAGCCUAUCCCUUCUCCAGCACAUCUUCCCGACCCAGGAAUCGAACCAGGGUCUCCUGCAUUGCAGGCGGAUUCUUUACCAACUGAGCUACCAGGGGAGCUUUUGACAGCAAAAGCAUAAGCAAAAAAAAGAAAAAUUAUAUAAAUCAGAUGCAUCAAAAUAAAAAGAUUUUGAGCUUCAAAGGACACAAAUCAAAAAGUAAAAAGACAAUGUAGAGGUAAAAUAUUUGCCAAUCAGAUAUUUGACAACUGCCUUACAUUCAGAAUAUAGAAAGAACUCUCACUCCCCCAAAAAGGAAGAUAAAUAACUCGAUUAAAAACUUGGCAAAGGGUCUGAAUAGAUGUUUCUCCAAAGAAGAUACACAGAUGGCUAAUAAGCACAUGAAAAGAUGCUCAACAUCAUCGGUCAUCAGGAAGACACAAACCAAAACCACAGUCCGAUAUCACCCACGGGGUGGGUGUCAUCAGAGAGACAAGCGGCAACAAGUGCCGGUGAGCACUGGCGACGCUGAGCCCUGCGCACGGCUGACUGAAGUAGUAAACGGUGCGACUGCUCCGAAAACCAGUUUGGCGGUUCACCAAAUGUUAAAUACAGAAUUACCACAUGCUCCAGAAAUGCCAUCGCUAGGUACAUGCCCAAGAGAGUGGAAAACACGUCACACAAAAAUCUAUGCAAUAACGCUCAUGGCAGCAUUAUUCAUAAUGGCCAAAAAACGGAAACAAGCAAAUGUCCAUCAGCUGGUUAAUGGAUAAACAAAAUGUGGUCCACCCGCACAGUGGCGUGCCCCUGAACAGGAAUGCAGUUCUGACACGUGGUACAAGCGAAAUAAACUUUGAAAGCACCGUGCUAAGUGAAAGGCCACAUGUUAUGCGACCACAUUCACACGCGGCGUCCAGAACAGGCGACUCCACAGAGGCAAAGGGCAGAUGAGUAUAUACCAUGGGCUGGUUUGAAAGAGGGCGAUGGAGCCUCCCCAUUAAACGUACAUGGAAUUUCUUUCUGAGAUGAUGAAACUGUCCUGGAAUUAAGUGGUAGUGAUGAUCGUGUGACUUAGUGAGUCUACUAAAAAGUCACUGAAUUAUACACUCUAAAGGGCAAAUUUGAUGGUAUAUGAAUUGUACCUCAAUUUUAAAUUUCAUGUAAUAUGCUUUGCUGUCGUUCAGUCGCUCAGUCGUGUCCGACUCGGCGACCCCGUGGACUGCAGCAUGCCAGGCCUCCCUGUCCUUCACCAUCUCUCGGAGUUUGCUCAAACUCAUGCCAUUGAGCCGGCGAUGCUAUCUAACCAUCUCACCCUCUGUAUGUGUUUAAGCACUUCCCAAUAUUAAAGAAUCUUACCAAAUCACCGUGUGAUUUCCACUGAAUAUGUGUAUUUUUUAG
ensembl:lncRNA